rnacentral:rRNA from 1 species
UACGUAGGGUCCGAGCGUUGUCCGGAAUUAUUGGGCGUAAAGCGCGCGUAGGCGGUUACUCAAGUCGGAUGUGAAAGCCCUCGGCUUAACUGAGGAAGUGCACCCGAAACUGAGUAGCUAGAGUACCAAAGAGGGUCGCGGAAUUCCCGGUGUAGAGGUGAAAUUCGUAGAUAUCGGGAGGAACACCAGUGGCGAAGGCGACUACCUGGCCUGUUUCUUGACGCUGAGGCGCGAAAGCUAGGGGAGCAAACGGG